CUUUUUCAAUAGGAUACAACCAUAAUUAAACCAAGAAGUUUAUGAAGAAGGGAUCACUGGAUUUUGUCACUUUGGUACAAGAAACAGAAAAGGAUAUCAUAGACCACCUUACUUAUACGGAAGCAUAGGAGCUGUUGAAGGAAAUUGCUGCCAGACAGUCAGCAGUUAUCACUGACAGCCUGUCCUGGCCCAGCUGGGACCAUCCUCAAGCUAACCAUGAUGAUGUGUUUGCAAGAAUUGUCCAUUUGGUAGAACAUGAUGAAGACGAGCUUUGUUGUGGCAUGGCCUGACAAUACUGUACAAGCCAGAGACCAAAAAAGGGUUAAGUGGUGACUGAUCCUCUCACCCUCCUUAUCCAGGAAACGUUUCGGAACAACGUGUUGGCACUGAAGAUGUGGAGGACACAGAUUGGUCACAGUACAUCCUUUGGAUACAUGAACACCUUCAACGGGACGACAACAAAACUGUACCUGCCUUUUUUUUGAAAGGAAGUAGUUAAUAAAAUUAUUGAUAACAGCUUUUUUUAGUUUUGUUGUUUAAGAAUGCUUGCAACAUUUAAGUGGAUAAACGGUUGUUUUAAAUUUGAAGCUUCAGUAAUGCAUUCUUUAUUAAAUGAUGUAAUCUUAUUUCUUUCAAUAUAGUGUAAAUAAUAAGAACAUAAUUAUCCUUUGUAUACAAAAUGAAAACCAAGUUUACUGUUCUAUUAAUCAUUAUUUAUUUAUCUUGUUCUUUUGUCAGAAAUAUUACAGGGGCAUACAUACAGUAUUCCUUAAAUAAAAGGGGCAGUUCUUAGAAAAUUAACAUGUAUUUUAGCAAUGCAUAUUCAAACUUUUUCCACAUUUAUAACCAGCAACAAUAUGUAAGUAUUAUAAUGUAACACAAAUUAAUACUAUAAAUUUACUACUGAUUUU